AACUAACGCUGGCGGCGUGCCUAACACAUGCAAGUCGUACGAGAAAGUUGGCUUCGGCCGAUGAGUAAAGUGGCGCACGGGUGAGUAAUGCGUGGAUAAUCUGCCCUUUAGUUGGGAAUAACGUACCGAAAGGUGCGCUAAUACCUGAUAAUACUGCAUAACUACUGUUGUGUAGUCAAAGAAGGCCUCUGUUUACAAGCUUUUGCUGAAGGAUGAGUCCGCGUACCAUUAGCUGGUUGGUGGGGUAAUGGCCUACCAAGGCUACGAUGGUUAGCUGGUCUGAGAGGAUGAUCAGCCACACUGGAACUGAGACACGGUCCAGACUCCUACGGGAGGCAGCAGUGAGGAAUAUUGCGCAAUGGGGGCAACCCUGACGCAGCAACGCCGCGUGAGUGAGGAAGGUUUUCGGACCGUAAAGCUCUGUCGAGCGGGAAGAAAGUGUAUCAUGGCUAAUAUCCAUGAUACUUGUACGGUACCGACUAAAGG
rnacentral:rRNA from 1 species